UAUGUAGUAAUUAUAAACCAUAUAAUUCAAAAUUAUAAUAAUAUAUAAUUGCAUCGUUAUAUAAUUAUUAAUAGUACAACUAUACAUAGUAAUGGUGUUAUAUAAUGAUACAAUUAUAUAAUCUAUUAUUAUAAUUUUGAAUUAUAUUGUUUAUUGAAUUGUUUUGAAUUAUAUUUCUAAUAUGAUUUUAAUAUAAUUAUAAUAUUAAUAAUUACAUAAUUCGUUCUUGGCAGACCAACAGUUUCUAAUGACAUCAUCAAACAGUUUUUACAUGUUGAUCUUGUUAUAAGACGUUGCAAAUCGAGUUGACUGAUAAUCUCUAUGAUCUACUGAAACAUUCGUCACUCCAGUCAAGGAUCAGAAUCAAUUGAAUAAAAUCUUGAGGAUUAUUUAAAAGAUUUUAUUAGAACAAAAAGACAAUCACUUCAAGUUUUCAAUUUCCACUGAAAACUUCGUGAAGACUCCGACAACGUCCAAUCUUGCGAGAGGAAUAACGUCGAAUAGGUUCGACACAGAAGGCGUCGUAUAUUUUAACAGCGAAACUGCCACGAAUCGGAAAUUGAAUGGAAAUACUUUCCCGAUAUCAAAUCCAUUUGGCAUAAACACCGGCGACAGACUGUGGUAGAGUAACGUGUUUUCUGCUUACAGUUCAGAUAGUUUUACUUUUAAAAGCUGGAGUCAAUCCGACGAGCUUAGUCCGCGCAUGCAAAUUACGAUGCGGGUGUCGCCCGACCGUCAUAUCAUCCAAACAAAAAUCCGAACAAAAAUCCACAAGGCAAUACUUUAAAACAAACAAGAACUACGAAUAUUGACGCGAGGAGCAAUUCUUUUACUGUCGAGUCACCUGGGACAUGUCUCGAAAAUUACAUUUCGAAAAUGCUUUAUGAAUCCGGACUGAUAAUGUAUAAUACGCAGAAGAGGCAAGCAGUCGUAGAUGUAAAAUGCAAUACAAAAUGUAUGUAGUAGCAAUAACAUUGAAACACAAUUUCUCGAAUUUGGACAAUGCGGAUAAGAAAUUUGCAAAUUUGCGAGUUUCACAACCUGCGAGCGCCACUUCGCAGCACAAAGUGAUAACUCGCAAGAUAAUGGGAGAUAACUUGCAAAUCGACGAGAUUUAUGCCCGACCAUCGACACAUUAUAUGCAAAAUUCACAGCUAAUAAUAAAUGGCGAACUUAUUAUCAGCAAAACAGUAACGCGGAUAAUUUGCGACCUGCGCCGUCGCCAGGUUGGCAUCAAAUCGAUGCCCUCUACGGGAGGCUUGGGUUUGCAAAACACUGAGAUACAAGUCUAGACUUCUGGCCUCGUUGGGAAAUCCAGAAACACCAAAGAAACCGUGGUACCUGAAAUUCUUUGAAUCUGAAAUCAAUAGAAAAAGAAGAAGAAGAAGAAGAAAAAGAGAAACUGAUGAUACAGAAAAUUUGAACAACUCGAAGUUUCAAAACAGCGUUCCUUCGUCGAGUCACAGCGAAAGCGCUACAUUUGUCAUUUCGUCUGGCUUAGCACCAAGAUUGUAACUGUGAUAACGACCGACAAUCCACGUUCCGAGAGAGAUGAAUAAAGCGACAGAUUUGAGCUAUGUUUUCAAAGUUAAAGAGGAUUGCAACAAAGAGAAAUCGUUAGAUAUCUACUCGAAUUCCUGGUACAACCUGGUACAACAUCGAGAAUAGAUCCGUUUAGAACAGAAAUGCGGCUUGUAACAUCAAUUCUUCUGUUUUUGAAAAAAUUGAUUCAGUUAAAGGUGACGUUUAUAUUCAACUUUGAAUAGGAUGUUGACAUCAAAGUUCCUGGAAGCCUUUACGAAUCUCAAAUUGUACUCUCGCUUGUUGGCCACGAUAGAAAUACCGAAUAUAAGUUGUUUUCAAAGAAAUCCUGAGGAAUAUCCAGAACAAUUUUUACAACUGGAUAGGUAAAUUUGAAUAUUUUAAAAUUUAUACCAUUUACACAAUUAUCAUUUUUAAUCUUAUUAAAAUAUAAAUUUCCGAAAUGGGUUACAUUCCUCAUACUUUUUCACUUCACUUUCAACGUAGUCAACCUCUUAUAAAACCGAAGUAUAUAUCGAAACGAUGAUCAGACCAGAAAUCGCGCAGAUUAUAAAUGGAUCUUUUUCACAAUGGCCUAAAAGACAUCUUAGCAUUUGCAAUAUUUAUAAUAAAAUAUUACAUUUUUGUAAUAGUUUUUUUUACAGUAUUUUAAGAUGCUUAAUAGCAUUAUAUUGAAGAUCAAUUUAGUUUUACUAUCUCGGCUUCAGUUUGAUUGCGUUGAAAGCAUUGCGACAAUUCGGCCCUCAAAUAACUUUAAGUAAAGAAAGAUGUUGAUUUAUUUAGAUUAUUUAGAAUUCAUAUAGAAAUAGCAUCAACAUUCUGCCUUAACCGUUAAAGGCUUUUCUUUAUUUAAUUGUAUUACAUUAUUAUUAUGUUUUAAAAAUGAUGUCUGCUAUCACCUUUCCUGUAUUACUCGGCCUUAUUGCAUAUCUCAUUGUCAGAGCUAGCAAUCUAGGGUAUUCUAUAGAAAUCUGCUAAAACAUAAAUGUUUAUAUAGCUUUUACUUUGAUGAACAAAUGAACUGUCAUUUCAUAAUCUUGUAACUUGUUCGACUGAUAUUUAAUGUAAUUACUAUUGACAAGUGAUAUAUGAUAUGGGAUAUCAUUAUGAUAACGUUUUUUUUUAUAAAAAAUUAUUAUAAGCAAUUAUAGUAUAUAACAGUGUAGAAGUAUGUAAGAAGUAUGUAUUUACUUUUUUCUUUUUGAUGUUUAUACAUAACGCGAACAAAUUGUAAUGCUGAUUGUUACAAGAUAUGAAAAGAAUAUGUCGAUUGUAUCAGCGGUGAGCAAAAAAAUGUCUGGUUUAGGUGUCGUGAGUAGAACUGCAAGCUUUUUUUGCGUCUUACUAUUUUUUUUUACCAGUAAUUGGCCGAUAAUUAACAAUUAGAUGAAAACUCAGCGCACAGUUCAGUUCAAUCUUGCUGCAUUAAAACAGGCAUUUUGUUCUCGAUUGUGCUUAUUUGAUUAUAUUUUCAUUUAUCUGAAUAUUAUUUUUAGUCAGUCAGCAUAUAUGUGAUCCUUUAAUUUAACAAGUUAUCAUUUUUGCUAAAUGAUUAAGUAUAGCUCUAAAUGAUAAUAAUUGGGAAAUAUUUUUGUAAUUUUCAAUAUAAAAAACACAAGGUUUACCAUUAUUUAAUAUUAAUAAAGAGCUAAAUAAAAGAAAGAUGCUUACUUAAUCAUAUAUCCUAAUCAUCACGGUUUUUAUCAAGUGUUUUUUUUUUUGGAAAUAAAAAAAAUAUAAAAAUUUA